rnacentral:rRNA from 1 species
GACGAACGCUGGCGGCGUGCUUAACACAUGCAAGUCGAACGGGCCUGUCUUCUUUUUUGGGGGUGGGUUGAGUGGCGAACGGGUGAGUAUCACGUGAGUAACCUGCCCUUCGGUCCUGGAUAACCGCUUGAAAGGGCGGCUAAUACGGGGUGGUCCGGUUGGUCCGCAUGGGCUGGUCGGGAUAGAUUCACUGUUUUUGGUGUUUCGGCGGGGGAUGGGCCCGCGGCCUAUCAGCUUGUUGGUGGGGUGAUGGCCUACCAGGGCGGUGCCGGGUAGCCGGACUGAGAGGGUGGGCGGCCACACGGGGACUGAGAUACGGCCCAGACUCCUGCGGGAGGCAGCAGUGGGGGGUAUUGCACAAUGGGCGGAAGCCUGAUGCAGCGACGUCGCGUGAGGGAUGGAGGCCUUCGGGCUGUGAACCUCUGUUUCCGGUGGUGAAGGCCCUGUCCGUGUGGUGGGGUUGACGGUAGCCGGGGAUGAAGCGCCGGCUAACUACGUG